rnacentral:lncRNA from 1 species
UUUGAAGCUCAGCCAAAAGCUGAAACUGAUCUAUUUUGGAUGAGGGACUCAGCUUUCCUGGCUUAGGUGGGUUUUGGCCAAAACCACUUUAUUAAAAACUUGAAGCUUUUUUAUGAGUAUCAAUGUAAAAUAUCGGAUCUAGGAUUCUACCUCCGAAAAUGCAAAUGGACUUUGUGGUUAUUGUCUCUCAUGGCUAAGGCCUCUGAAGGGGCCCUUAUUGCAGUUUAUUCGCCAGCUGUUAGGCAUGGAGAUAAGCCUUUGUAUCGUGUAACACUGGUUGAGCAAACAAAACAGAGGAACACUUUUUUCUUAUCAGCUGGACUAGCCUCUUUACACUUAGCAAUUAUGGCAACUCUUUUCCUGUCCCAGGUGUUUCACAAUCAUAACAGGCACCAUACUUGUAAUUUGGAUUUUGAAGCCUCUUUUGAUCCACAAGUAACUCCAAAUGCAGCCCUCGAUCUACAUCAAAGCCUGACACAUUUUCCAAUGUCUAUUAGGUGAUAUUUAGAGAUUUUGGAGCAGUUGACACCAUAUUUGCUGUAGGAAUAAGAAAGAGUUGUAGUAGUAUGGAAUGGUAAUGGAAAAUUGGGUACCAAAAUUGUCAUUCCCAUAUCAUUGUUUGGGCACGAAAUAAGAGGGUGCAUUGGAAUGGAAUGGUACUUUCGCUUAAUGUUUGAUUAGUUUUAUUGUAUAAUAAAAUGUCAUUAGUUUUACGUUAAUUUUGAGCAUAUAACCUUGAACAAGAAUAGGUCCUAAGUUUAAUGGAGCAGCUAUUAACAUGUCCACUCUAACAUUUUCUUGUGUAUGCAUAUCAUGCUUCUAAAUAAUGGUUUUUUUUUUGUGCAUAUAACCCCAUAAAAUUUAUUCUAAUUGCAUGCAACACCCAUAGCUGUUCCUAUUUGCUACAUGAUACAAAUAACCCUCAAUGAACUCUUACCUUUAUGAAGGGUUCAUGGUAUAACUUGAACAUGGUUUAUGGUUGGUUAAACUAGCUUAUGGUGGAAGGAAGUCUGGCUGCAAUCAUAUAAGGGCAGGACUUGAACGCAAACCAUUGCGUCAUACCAAUUUAUAGUUUUGAGUGUUAGGUGUGGGUACUUUAGGCUAAAUCAAAGAGGUCAAGCAACACAGAUGUUUGCUGCAUUGUAGACGUGAAAGAGGUUUAUGUUGCAUAAUGGACUUGAAAGAGGUUUAUUUCUUUGCCCCCCUUCUUUUUUCUCCUCUCAUUUUUUUUUUAAUUUCUUGAGAACUAGGUUGGGAAGAAGUUCGUUGAAAUCACAUAAAGAUGGUACUUGAACCCAGAUCACUAGUAUCCAACACCUAUUUUAUCAACUAAGCUACCAAGGAGUGUCAUACUGCCCUAACUAUCUGGUUUGGGGCAUACCGAACCAUACUGAGAGCGGAUUAGCAUGGUUCCGCUCUUCGGUUCAAAAAAAUUCCACGAGGGAGGGGAGAUUCAGGAAGAGAGAGAGGAAAAGAGGGAGGGAGGGAGAUGGAGAGGCUGAGAGAGGACUCGAAAGUCCUCAUCUCGUCUUCCAUCCAUUGUUCGUAGGGGUCACCCUUGUUUCGAUCCGCAGGGGUCAUCCCUGUUUCCCCUUGUUUUGAUUGAAACAGGGGCCAUGCUGUAUUUUUUUUCAAAUUCAUCAUUGUAGUCGGCAAAUGGAGGACGGCCUCUGUUUCGGUCAAAAGUGGGGCAACCACUAUGAACGGCGGAUGGAGGACGAGAUGAAGGCUUUUGAGCCCUCUCUCAGCCUCUCUCUCUUCCUCUCCCUCUCUCUCUCCUACUCCCUUCCUCCCUCUCCCUCCCCUUUCUCUUUCUCUCUCUUCUUCUCCCUCUCCCUCUCCCUCGCCAGCUCUAGCCUUGUUGGUAUGGCUUGGAACGAUAUGGCAUGGCGGUGUACCGUACCAUAUUGCUAGGCAAGCGACUGGUACCGGCAUAGCCAACCUUAGUUGGUACCCUUAUAUUCCAUCUAUUCUUGGUUAUGUGAUGUGGAAUCAGGACAAUGGGUGAUUACAAUGACCAUUUUUAUUUGUCAAUAUAUUAAUCUUAAAUCCUUUCGGUGGUUUCCUUAUGUCUUGAGACUCUAGCCUCUAGGACUGUAAAUAUCAAUUCUGAAAAUUGAUACUAGAAAAUGCUUGCCAUUAUGUGGCUUGGUUUUCUUUCUUGUUCCCUGUUCGUGAAAUUCUAAUUUAAUUUCCAGGUAUUGAUAGGGUUCUUAUUAGUCAAUCGAGGGUUAUGAAGAAAAUGUUUAUUUGUUACUCCUAUUAAAGGGUGAUGAGCAGAUUGCUAUGCAGCAGGCUGUGUCAAGUGGAUUUCAUGAGUGGGGUUUUAGGAUUGGUGCUCCUUGUGUCGUUCGUCUCCAGGAAUCUAUGCUCUAGGUGACAUGAUAUUCUGUUGGAUGAGGUGGAGAAUUUUUAAUCUUCUCUGUUGCUUUAGCCUUGAGAGUCAAACUUGCCAAAAGUAUCUUGGCAUCAGUUUCCUUGUGAACCAGGCUUUUCAGCUAAUGCACCUAAUUCUAAGUCAUCUAUAUCACACCUUACAUGCUUAGGCCUUUGUUAUGUAUUAGAGAAUUUAAUGGGAUCAUGUGAUUUGAUGGAAGCCCCCACUCCUUUUAGAAUAACCACCUAAGUCGCGCUUUUGGAUCUUCUUUUAGUUACUAUAUGAUACUUUAUGGACAUGUCACAGUGAAGCUCCUAGCCACUUAUGGGGGGCAAUCAAAAUAGUUAAAUGCGGUCCCUUAAUGAUAUAUGCACUCCCUUUCAUGCAUUGGAGAUGGUACUAGUAGAAUGCAUCUAUAGGAAAUAUGAAUGUUUAUCAAUUGUUGAAAAAUCUUCAACUUAAUUUUUGAGUCAUGUUCCCUAGUAUGGUGAGUGUACUUGGGUUUCAUGUACUCUACUGCUUAAAAUUGCCUUGGAAAGGAAUUUGAUACCACUCUUAGCAAGUUGACACUAGGUUCAUAGCUGGUUGUGGAGAUCUUUAUAGUCCUGUUAGGCGUCCUUUUGUUCCAUGGCUGCCCCACUUUGAUUUAAAAAAGGCUGGAUGUGAUGAUUCUUCUCAAGCAAAAAUGAUUGGUUGAAGUAGGGCUUCGAGAGAAAAUUGCCAUUAUUUCGUAAAUGUCAUAUAAGCAUGAGUUACUUAGGUCAAUCAAUCGGAAGACUAACAUCAAGCUUAGGCUGUCAUUAUCAGGAACUGGCCCCUAAUGUGGAUAUUGUGUGCUGUUACUGUCAGUAUGUCUCAUGACAACUGAUAUUUGUUCAUUUUAGCUCUGACUCCAAAUACAUUAACAAUUCAUUAGCUGUAUCUGGUUGAGAGUGUUUUGAGCAAUAGAAAAGGCUGACCAGUUACUGCUAAAACCUUUAUAGAUCAACCAACUUUUCUGAUGAGUCUUCCUAUGCUUCUUUUAGCCACUAGAUUUCUUAAAAUCGUCAUCUGGGCUUGGUUAAAAGGAACAUCUGUUACAUUAGCACUGCUCUUCUGUGUCUAGUCUUGUAGCUGCUGAAUUAGAUUAUUCAAAUGAGAAACAAAAUAAAUAACCAUUAGAAGAAGAUGGCAUGUACCAUAUACUUGACUGCAGUAUCAUUAUAUUUCUCUGGCCAAGUCACAUUAUGACCACUGCGGAGAUGUGCCGCAUGGUGACUUUGACUGGCUUUUGGAGCAAAAUCUAGAACUUAUGGUAAGGUGGGGUUAAGCAUGCAUAUACUCUGGCAUUCAUGUACAUUGUUCAUGUAUAAGCAAGUAUAGGCUUAACCAAAUACAUGCAGAUAUUAAUGUAUGAACAUCUGUAAUUUUCUAACUAAUCUUCAAUUUCAUCUUCUUGUUCAAUUAUUUCAAAGCUUUUAUCCAUCACUGAAAUGGUUCUGUGACUAUGACCUGACUUCACACCAGAUCAGAUUUAUGGAUUUUCUUGUCACCAUAGCAUCAUGGAUUUGGGUAUGAGUAUUCAUGGUUCUAACAAUGACGUGUUUUUGACCAACUCACAACUUUCUAUUAACUCAGCAGGGUCCUUCCCAUGCACCUUCUUGUGCUAAGAUUAUAACUACUGCAGAAGUUAUAGUUAUCUGGUUGAAUGUGCUUAAGACAAAUUAAUCAGAGUGAAAUAUUUGUCCAGUGUAUCUGUUUAUUCAUGUUAUUUUUCCUGAUCUUGCUAUUUCUGGCUGGCAUUGGUCAAUUUAAAUGUCCAUCAUGACCACUUUUGGCUUUCUUUUCUGUCCAAUUUUAAUUUGAAUUUUUCUCAUAAAAAGGAGCUGAUAGGCAAAAACUGAUUUUGCUUUUGCAGAGAUAAAACUAACCAGCACUAGUCCAACAAGCAUUACUUCACCUGACAUCACAGCAUGGCCCAAGAGAAUCAAACAAUCAUCCCUGUUGAUCCAGCAAGCUUUCCUUCAAGGCGUAAACGAGGUCGUCCUCGUAAGCACGAUGGUCCUGGAUGUGAACCACGUAGGAGAAACCGGCAGUUUCAAGCUACUGCAACUCAAGCAUUUCCAGCACAGGCUCCUUCAUCUCAUGCUAAUCCAAUUGCCAGUUCCAGUCGUGGGCCUUGUGGCCUCAUAGGUCAGAAAGUCUCUGGUAUUCUGGAGGGGAUUUUCGAUGCGGGAUAUCUUCUCACUGUUCGAGUAGGUGAGACUGGACCUGUCUUCAAGGGUUUGGUGUUUGAUCCACACCUGUCUGUUCCUCUCACUGUGGAUAAUGAUAUUGCACCACUUCUUCCAAUGUCAAGAAGCGAUGAAAUCUUAUAUCAGGUUGGCCAUGCACCAACCAAGGAGCCAGUUUCACCACCAAUCCAUCCUGUAUCGAAAAUGGUUACAGCUGCAGUGCCUCUUCAGAUAAGGGAACCUGCUACCCCUUUUCCACCUGUAAACCAUUUACAUGAAUCCUCCAGGCUUCCUCAAACAGCUCCAAGUGCAAAGGAAGCAGAGCGGAAUGAUGCCACCCAUCUCUCUCAGGAUGUGCACCCUGCUUCACAACCUGACUUGAAAAAAGUACUUAUGGAGACGGCUCCAAGUACAGAGGAAGUUGCGGGGCAUGGUGCCAACCGUCUUCCUCAGGAUAUAUGCCCUGCUUUGCAAACUGAUGUUGACAUAAUACGUCUGGAGAAAGCUCCAAGUACAAAAGUAGCGCAGAAAGAUGCCAUCCAUCUUCCUCAGGAUGUGCGCCCUGCUUUGCAAACUGAUUUAAAAACAUACUUCUGGAGACAUUAUCCAGAAAAGUGGCAAAUGAUGAGCUGCCAAAAUCUCAGCCUGCUGCAUCUCAACAAUCUGUGCCUACGUGCACACAAACAGGACUUUCAUCAGGCCCAUCUUACGUUAUGAACAAUGCCGGGGCAGCAGCCAUCGGAGCUUCUUCAGGAGAUAGAACCGAAAAAAUGGUUGAGACAGCAAAAGGAUGUGUAAAUUCUGAACAUAUUGAAGGAUCAUCAGAUAAUGUUGGUGGAAAGCUCAAUUGUACUGGCCAGGCACCACAGUCGGAUAAGUCCUUGACAGACAAUGAGACAGCUGGUGGCAAUGCAGAUAUUAGUUGCCAGGCGCUGAUAUGCGAUGAGAAGUUGAAGGCCAAUGAAACGUUUGGUGGGAAGAUGGAUUUGGUUGGUGAGGCUCCGCAACUUAAUAUACAAGUAUCAGAAAACAGAGAGCUGCCUGAAGAAUUCCAAAAUGAGAAGGACCAACAAAACCUCUCAGUUCCUUCUACUCCUGAAGUAGUAGCAUCGCAGGUUCAGAUUGAGGAACAGAAGCUUCAGUCAAGUAACAUCUGCCAUAUUGGCAAUGAUGGUUGACUGCCUCUUAGUGGUUCUGCCUAGGUUGGACAGAGACUUUUAUUUUUCUUCCGCUUCUUUUGUCUAUGGUUGUUCGCAAGGUUUUACAGGUCAUGCAGAUGUUUUAAGGUUGAUGUGAACAGGGACUUGAAUGUCGAGGACCUGCAGAUAUCAGGUAUAUGGUUAUUAUGUACUUUAUCUAGCUAACAUAUGACCCCUCUAUCGAAGUUUAUCACUUUAUGAUGGACAUUGUAAUGUUGCUGAAAAUCAGAAAAUAUACUUGAAUGGUUUUGAUCGACCAGUCUGGAUGGUUUAUGGCUUAUAUGCUGCACAUGGUAUGACAGCAAGUUUUAAGGUUUUCCAGAGGUUAUUGGCAUGCUCAAUCCAGUGGAAUUUGCAGGUUAAGCUAGGCUCCAAUAUUCAAUCCUUUUAGUAAAUUCUAUGUGGUGGUUUUCUUUUUGGUUAGCUGAUAUCCAAGAUGGAUGGAUGCAAGAACGGUGGCAAUGGCAGGACAAAUGAUAUUCAUGAAGUCUACUUUCUGUUGAUUGUCUAUGAGAAGUGGCAACUGAUAUUUUGCAAGGACAAACAGAAAUCGGACGUAUAUGAAACUAAUCGUAUUCUGGUCCUCCUUACUAGGAGUUUGGAAGCCUUCUUGCCUUAUAUUAGCCUUGAGAAGGACAUGAUUCAAAAUUUAACCUUUAAAAUGCUGCCACUUAAGCGAAGCUGUUGAAUUAUGCUGUCUGAUGGUUGUCUUUAUUUUACGAUCGUCGAGCAGCAAUAGAGGUGGAUGAAGAUAUCUUGAUGCAUGCUUGUCUGAUUUUGGGCAGGCUUGGUCAAGGAGCCUCAGCCUGCUUUAGAGUUCAAUCGGCACUGGGGGCAGGCGUGGGUUGACAGAAAGCUAUAUUAUUUAAAAAAUAACUCAAUACGAUUCUUGCUUUGGUAUAUUCUCUUUCUUGAUCUCUCUCUCUCUCUCUCUUCCUGUCUUAUUUUUUCCCCCCAAAUUGAUGUCUUAGAUCUCUCCUAGCCAGUUGUUGCAAAGUUAUGCCUUAAUGCUUCAGUAAACAUGGUAGAAAUAUAUAUGAUUGUUUUAAAAUUCAAAAUCUUUUAAUGAUUAAUCGGCACUCCGAUUUAAAUGUACUGUCUGGAUAUAUUGGUUUCAACCAAGGGCGUCGGGAUUCUCUCUCUAAUAUCUUUUAGAGCGCGAAAUUGGCGCUGCUCUCUCGCUCGCGCUCUCUCCCUCUCUUGUGCCCUUUCAUCACUCUCAUUUGCUCCCCCUCCGACGCAUGCAGUCUUCCGUUUGCACCAUCCCUUUCGCAUGAUCCAGAGAGAUCUCCCAACGCAUCAUGUGUUCGACACGAAACGAUUUCUUAGUCCAUCAUCAUUGCUUGAGCUUUAUUUUGUCAAAUUAUUAAUUGGCCGAACCAAUUCAUACGUCAAAUUCCUGUUUUGCCCGCUUGGUUUGAACCGGAUCUUGGAUUUGGCCGGCCCGAGACCUGAGGCGUCUUUGAAGAUUAAUUCUGAUGGUGGAUUGCGUCGUGAAGCUGCCAGUGCUUGUUGUAUGUUUCCAAAAUAAAGAGGAAGUAUGAUUCCAUGUAAAACAAAAUGAAAAAGUUGCUGGAGCGGUUCUGGCAACUUACUCGAAGGACACGUAUUUAAGCCAAUUCCAUGGUCUGAAAAUCAGAAUUAUGCCAAUAUUGGUGAAUGCUCGGUGUUUUGAUUUUGUUGGUGCAAGAUGUUAUCAAACACUCAGUUUUAUUGUAUCCUAGAGGCUUAUUGCAUAUUUUCACGUUAGAUUUGUGAGGAUGAAUAAAGUCUUAAAAAAGUGGCAGCCUUUAAGCUUUUUCUUGUCAAUUUCUGAUUGUUCUCCCAGCUAUUCUAACAUUCCUAAGACUUUAAAGACAUUUUGCAAAAAUGGCAUUUGCAACACUUGGAUGGAUAUAGAAUUUGCCAAAUCAGAAUGCUUUAAUGGAGAAAAUUUUUAAAGUGACAGAUGUGCUUUCUUCUCGGUAAACUGAGAAGGUACAUUUUAGUAUCAGAAAAUAAUAAUAAAGGAUAUUACAUAAUACUUUCAAUUAUCUCAUUAUUUAUACUAUAAAAACUAUUUUCAUAAAGUAUUUUUAAUUUAUAAAUUAUUAAUUUUAUAUUUAAUUAAAAAAAUAAUAAAUAAUAAAAUUCUAUAUCUAGCCUAAAAAAUAAUAUUAUAUGAUAUUAUUUUUAUCUUUUAGAGUAGUGAGAAAGCUAUUUUAAAUUUGUCAUCAAACAUCUCAAAAUCACAAUAAAAAGUUUUUAGCUUUCUAAGAAAAGCAAUAACGAGCGGAGCCUAAACCUGCUAUGCUUGAGGGUCAUAUUGUGAAAGUUCUUCAACAUAAAUCUUCGCCAUGCUUCUUAAACAAACAAAUGUCAACAUUUCUCCUUGGUGUGCUAGAAAAGUAGAAAUACCUCUCUUAUUUGGAAAGCCGCUAUCAAUAUUUUGAUACAGAUAAAGGUAGGUGUCGGAAUGGGGACAGGUAAAGGUCUGAAUACCAAUCAGGCUCAUCAUCCUCUGGUUGUUUGAUCUUCUUCUUUGUAGAAAACCUACUUACAUGACAAAUGAGUCCUAUGGUCUCCAGGUAAGUUAUCAUAUUGAAGAUGGUCAAUGGAAUCGGGCUAAAAUUGCUACGUAUUAGAUUUUGAAUUUUUGAGCAUCCCUAUCGCCUACAUAAAUAAUGAAGAUGGGUGGCUAUAUGUGGCUCCGAUGGUAAGAGGUUGGGGGCUAGCCAACUCCAUCUAUACGUUUCUUGAUUCUCAUGUUUUCCUGUACCAAGCUAGUGAGCUGUUGCAAGUUUGGAAGAAGAUAUGGAAACUGAAGGUGGCACAAAGGAUCAACGUGUCCUGCUGAAAACCUUAUCCAUGGUAGGCUGGCCACAGAUCUUGCUGACGAGCUGGGUGCGACUUUCGAUGGAGCUAAACCAAGCUCUACUUCUUUGACUAGAGAAGACAACAGUAACGGUCGAGAUUUCUCCUUUAAGAGGCCGGUGAAGGUGGGUGGUGGCUUAAAUCUUGAAGGUAGAAGGGGUUACUUGUGCAGCGAACAUGGCCAUGGGGUUGUGUCACUUUGUGCCAAGUUUCUGGACACCCGAAGAGGGUAUGCCCUUCUGCUCAAAAACCAUUUGUUUCUCAGAGUUCGGCCCCGGCUGCUCCAACGGUGGGAUCCUUUAGUCGAAUUUAUAGCAUUCUAUGGGAAGCAUUUGGCUGCUUAUGAAGUAGUAGCAUUCAUCGAGAGGGUGGAAGACAUCCCCCCGUUUGUCUUCCUGUGUCUGGCGGGCUUCAAGUAUAAGAUCUCCAUUCAGAAGCAUGGCUUCUCUAUUCGGUAAGUUGGGCAAGAGGAGGUGCUGGAGGUCGACUCGGAGCUGAGCAACUGCCAUAAUGAGCAAGAAACAAAAGCUGGUGCAGCUACAGGUAGUGGUGGUGGAGCACAGUGAUCGUUUGAAAGUAAAAACUCUGGCUUAGAAUGUGGACAAUUGCGAAGCUUCUUUGGCUUUGGAUGCGAUUAAGGAAUCUGGAAUCUAGAGAAGAUUGAUAUAGGGUUGAAGGGGAUUUUGAUGAUCAGCAUAUUGUCUCAAAGCUCCUGCGGAGUGACAUGCAGCCGUUGGGAAGACAACGCGGUUUUGCCAAGGAAUCCUCGUGUUGCCAUGCAAAACUAGAUUUUUCACUAGCACCCUCAACAACAAUAUCAAAAGAAUCCUAAUGUUGACAAACCCAAAUUUCGAAUUGAAAAUUUCACACACUAUUGUCUCCGCAAACAUAAAUAAAAUCUAUUAUUUUGAUCCAAAGAUGAUAAGUAAAAUUAUCAAAGAUUUCACCAACAUGAAUACUCUACAACCUCAAAAUAAAAUCAACUCCAAUGAGAAAAUAUGCCAAUAUGCAAUAUCUUCAAGCACAUUUUCCUCUUACAUGCCAUUUUCAUGCAUGAUCCAGAAUAUGCUAAUUAGAUAUCAUAAAAAAUCUUUAUUAACCUCAAUAUUAAUUAACUUCUUAUGAAUGAAUCCUAGAUUGCUACUAAGUAAUUAAGUUUAAAACUAAGUAAUAUCGUAGUAUACCACUAAAAUUACUUAAAUAACUAAUAACUAAUAAAUUCCUUAGCAAAUCCUCUUAUACUUAAUUUAGAUUUAAAUCAAACUAUUCAGAACCUUAAACACAAA